CUGGCACAUGGAGGUUCCCAGGCUAGGGGUCAAAUCGGAGCUGUAGCUGCCAGCCUACACCACAGCCACAGCAGCACAGGAUCUGAGCUGCAUCUGCAACCUAUACCACAGCUCAGAGCAACACCAGAUCCUUAACCAGCUGAGCAAGGCCAGGGAUUGAAUCUACAUCUUCAUGGAUACUAGUCAGGUUCCUUAACCACUGAACCACGAUGGAGAACUCUGCAUAUUUCCAUUACUUACUGUGCUAUCCAUAAUUUAAAUUAUUGUCAUUUUUCAGAUAAGCAUAUUAACAGAGAAUGAUAUUAAAAAAAGAACUACUGUUUGUGCAUCAUGGCAAAUCAUACUCAUUUGGUACAAGAAACAUUAAAUUUGCAUUUCACUCCAGUCAUAGAUAUUAAAGAUUUCCAUAUUUUUUUAACACAAAACAAGAAAGUAACAGAAACUCAAUGUGUUAAGUGAAUUAUUUAAAAGCUAGAAUUUUUAAGGAGAUUGUUAGAGAAUAUAUUGAAAUCUAUCAUCUAAUAUCACCUGUGAAAUCUGCCAUCAUUCAGUGGUUACUUUAAUUCAUUUUAUUGUCAUUAUUUAUCCUAUUUACUUUUCAAAUAACAGUUUUGUUUUCUUUGUAGUUAUCUGCACAUGGGAUCUGCUACCUUCAUCAUUCAAUCAUCAUGGCACUUCUAUUUUUGAAACACAUAUAAGUAUAUCCCCUGUUUUUUCCCAUGUAAAAUGUCAGUUCUGGACAUUAGCUUUUGCUUAUGCAGGUAGAGCACUUAUGACAUUUGUCAUAGUAAAUACGUUUAUACCAGUAAGCUUCAAAUAUUCCUAAUUCACUAGUGCACAGGAAAUUUAGACUUUAGUGCAAAACAGAAAAAAAAAAAAGAAAGGCACCUUCAGCACAUAUUGCCAUAAAUUUGUUCAGGUGGAACAGGAGAUUGGGUGACAUAACAGUCAAGCAGCAGGCAUGGAGUGACAGUUUAUAGACAGACAAUGAAAUAGAACUUUGAAGAAAGGAAUAGAUGUAUUAUACUGUAUCCUGCAAUUAUACCUAUUAAGGCAGAAGAAAAUCAUCUUCACUUCCACUUUUCAUGAUUCUGGGCUGUCUCUCGGCAUUGUCCUCAUAAAACCUUAUGCAUUAUAUAUUUCAUCAUGACAAAACAUAAUUGAUGCCAAGAACAUUUUAAAAUUAUCGCUGUGUAAUACACACUUUUGAGAAACACUGUAUUUAUUAUUAUAAACGUUCAAAUACUUAUUUUGAAUUAUAUUGAAGAUCAUGACAGAACAUUUUAAACGUGUUCUCAGUGGCAAGUGAGUCAUUUUGAAGACUACUUUUCUAAUUUAUUCUACAACAGUUGAAGUUUUUUAAAAAAAAAUCUCUUCCAGAAAUUAUAAAAAAUAACAGCUUCUCCUUUGGAGUGUUGAAAGGUAAAAGCCACAGUAAGUCAAACAAGUGUAUACAGUUCAAAAGCAAUUUCUACCUUUAUAAAAAUUAUAGUGUAAAAAAGCUGGAGAUAAAUGCUUAGAUAUAAGCCACAUUCAGCCUCCCGAGCAUCCACGUCUCUAUAGUUCUCUUUU
rnacentral:lncRNA from 1 species